rnacentral:lncRNA from 1 species
CAUUUAUUGCUUUUCAGGGCAUAUGGAAAUUCCCAGACUAGGGGUCGAAUAGGAGCUGCAGCCACUGGUCUACACCACAGCCACAGCAAGGCGGGAUCUGAGAGCUGUGUCUGCCACUUACACCACAGCUCAGGGCAACACCAGAUCCCCCACACACUGGAUUGAGGCCAGGGAUAAAACCUGCCCUAGUUGGGUUAGUAACCCACUGAGCCACAGUGGGAACUCUGAGCUUAUUGUUUUAAACACUGGUAAAGGUAUCUAUCCUACUUUUUCUAUAUGAACUGUACUCCAAGAUAACUAGUUGAUGGAAUAUAUUUUUAAUAGAAGUAUUUUAGCUAAUAAGCAAUGAGAAAAUUAGGGUGUCUGGUAAUAAUCAUUCCUAGUAACAUCACAGAGAGAAACAACCAGCAACGAAAGAUCUCCUGACUGAAAUACAGCAUGCCCUGUCUAUAAACUAUUCUUGCUUAAAAAGUAUGUGUGUGUGAAACCUGAAUCAGAUCAACCUAUAGACCUAACUACAAAUUUAGAGGAAAUAUGGGGUAGAGAGAAACACACUAAAUGACAAUGAAAUCCAAAUUGUUGGAGAUUGUACAGGAGAGAUGAGUCAGGAAAAAUGAGACAAGGAUUAAAAAAUCCAGAGAUGGGAUUUAGAUGGCAGAAUAGAAGGACUGGAGCUCAACUUCUCUCCUAAAAAUAACAAAAUUUACAACCAAAUACUGAGCAAUCUUCAACCAAAUGGACUGGAAACUUUCAAAAAGAUAUCCUACUCCAGAAGAAAAAGAGGAGGCCACAUCAAGAGAUAGGAGGAGCGAUUAUAAGAUAUAAGCAACCCCAUACCUCCUGGGUGAGAAGCCCCACAGAUUGGAAAGUAACUGGUUCACAGAGACUUACCUACACGAGUGAGAGUUCUGAGCCCCACAUCAAACUCCCACGGGUGGGGAUCUGGCACUGGGAGAAAGAGCCCCUGGAGCAUCUGGCAUUGAAGGCCAGUAGGGUUUGUGCACAGGAGCUCCAUGGGACUGGGGGAAAUGGAGACCCCAUUCUUAAGAGGCACACACAGACUUUCAUGGGCACUGGGUCCCAGGGCAAAGCAAAGCCUCCAUAGGAAUCUGGGUCAAACCUGACUGCAGUUCUUGGAGAACCUCCUAGGAAAACAGGGGUGAAUGUGGCUUGUUGUGGGGGAAGGACAUUGGAAGCAAACCUCUUGGGAAUCUUCAUCAGCGUGUCUUUCUCAGGAGGUGGCCAUUUGGGGAAAAUCUGGCCCCACCCAUCAGAGCUGAGAAGCCCCAGGCCAAACAACAAUCCAGGUGGGAUCACAGCCUCACCCAUCAGCAAACAGGCUGCCUAAAGCCCCCUCAGGCACACAGCUGCCUCUAAUCCCAUCCAGAGACUAAGCCCCACCCACCAGAGGGAUAGGAAUCAGCUCCACCUACCAGUGGGCAGGCAUCAGUACUGCCCAUCAGGAAGCCUACAGCAAGUUCCCUGUACCAACUUCAGCCACAAGGGGGGCAGACACCAGAAGUAAGAGAGGCUACAACUCUAUUAUCUGUAAAAAGGUCACCACACCAAAUACCUAUAAAAAUGAAAAGACAGAGAACUAUAACUUAGAUGAGGGAGAAAAAAAAAACCACAUUAACAGGGACAUAUCAGUUAGGGGAGAUUCAUGAAUCUAAGUUCAACAAACAAUAAACCAUCAAUUAAAAUGUAUAAAUAUGCAUGUAUGUAUAUAUAUGUAUACUACAUAUGUGCUUAUGUAUCUCUAUAUAUGUGUGUAGGAGUUACACACACAUAAGAUAGCUAGGGAAACCCGAACGUGAACGAAAGCAUUUGCUAACAUUAAGAAAUAGUUAACUUUUUACAUAUGAUGAAAAUACCAUUUUAAAGAAAAAAGAACACCUUAUCUUCCGGAGAAAUAUACUGAAAUAUUCACAGGUAAAUUGGUACAACAUAUGGAUGGAAUUUGUUAAAAAUACUGGGGGUGAUAAAUGGAAGAAAGAUUGAGUGACAGUGACUUGAGAUUAGUUUAAGUUGGGUAAUGGUUACAAAUGCAUUACUGCAACCACGCUCUCUACUUCUAUGGAUAAGAGGAAAAUUUUCUAUAGUAAAAUUAAAAACCAUAUGAACAAAAAUAACAAAAAUUAUGUAUCUAAUAUUAAUAAGCUGGUAAGAUCAGACUAAGACAUUCCAACUUAAAAGUCCAUUGUGAUCAACUGAGGAACUUUAUCAAAAUACAGUCUCUGAACCACCACUAUCUUGAUGAACCUCAUAUUGAAGGAACUGGGUCAGGUCCCCUCAGGACAAUGCAAGUGUAGAACGAGGGUUCAGAAUCACCUUUUAAACAUCGUAAAGGUGGGGGCUGUGUGUUAAUCUUCCAGUUUUGAUCUCCAUGCCUGACAUGUAGGAAGUACUCAAGAAAUAUCUGGUGAAUUAAUGAAUGACUCUGGGAAGUGAAAUUGACUAAGUGAGCUAAAUAGCAGCUAAAUGCUAGAUGUGCAAAAACCAAUUAAAAAAUCACUUAGGUUUCUGAGUUUAAAGAGCAUGACUUUCUGUUUUUUAAGUAGAAUAGGUUUUCAUCAUAAAGCCACAGACUGGUCACUUCUAACAGCUACAAGUAAACUUCCAGAAUAAAAAUAGUUUUAAAUACACAAUUGGGUGGGGUGAGGCUAGCAAAUAUGCUGAUUAUACAAUCUGUUUUGGACUAUACAGAGCUUUCUAUGUGACUAACAAAGCAAAUAGUAGUCAGAUU